CAGCCGUAAACUAAUGCUCGCUAGGUGUCGGCCACGGUGCGACCGUUGUCGGUGCCGUAGGGAAGCCGUGAAGCGAGCCACCUGGGAAGUACGGCCGCAAGGCUGAAACUUAAAGGAAUUGGCGGGGGAGCACAACAACGGGUGGAGCUUGCGGUUUAAUUGGAUUCAACGCCGGAAAUCUUACCGGGACCGACAGCAACAUGAAGGCCAAGCUGAAGACUUUGCCGGAUUAGCUGAGAGGUGGUGCAUGGCGUAGUCGUGU
rnacentral:rRNA from 1 species